AUGAAAAAAAAAAAUUUGCAGUUCAGAAUCAAAGGAAACAGGACAUUUGAAUUCUAUCUAGAGAUGAGUGAACUACGGAAUAAAAAGGUCCUGCUAUAUGCUCAGGGUUAUGUGACCACAACUUUCCAUUCUGAAAAGAGACCAACACAGAGAGAGAUGUCUGUGAUACCUUACAGAGAGAACACGCAUGAUAAAGUCAGUUCUAAUUCAUGUCACUAUUCUGAAAAAGUAUUUUUUAAAAAGCUUUCACAGCCGAGAUAGAUCCAUAGUACGUCUGUGCUCAGUCACGUCCGACUCUCUGUGACCCCAUUGACUAUAGCCCGGCAGGCUCUGUCUGUGGGACUCUCCAGGCAAGAAUACUGGAGUGGGUUGCAAUUUACUCCUCCAGGGCAUUUUCCUAACCCAGGGAUCAAAGCCACACCUCCUGCACUGCAGGUGGAUUCUUUACCAUUACGCCACCUGAUGAAGCCAAGAUAGAGCCAUAUAAGGUAUAAAAAGAACCACCAUUAUGACAGCCAUGCGCAAGAACAGAGGAAUUAGUUCAUCUGACAAUGUCAAGGAAUUUGAGAACUAGCUCCUGAGUUUAGAUUGGUUAUCAAUUACUAUUCUCGUGUCUCAUAAAGUUGGCCCAAAGAUUUUUAGAUUCCAAACAGAUUCUCUCCCUGUAUAGACAAAUGCAGACAUCAAUCACCAUUUUCCUAUUCCUACAGUAAUAUGAAUGCUUAACUGACAUAUCUAAAAAUAUUUAACCUUAAUUUUAACUUUGUCAUUCAUGUGGAAAACUUGUGAAAAACAUAAAAAUGACAGAAAAUUUAUACUAACCGGUUUUAGGAGCUAAUAUGUAAAUGUCCUCGCAAUUAAAUCUUGCCAAUGACUUUACUCUUUGGGACUGCAUUUGAGAACUUGCUUAAAGGACAUAACAAGUAGAUGCAAUGCAUAUAUUAGACUGAUACUGGUUUGGAAAAUCAAAUGUAAAGAAAACUCUGGUAUUAAUCGUCUCAUUAAAAGAGACGAAAAUAUGCUGAAAGGUAGAGAGCUGGGAAAAAAAGGCAAAGUAACACUAAGUGUUCAAACAAUGGUAGACUCUAAAUGGUGGGAAUUUAACUUUUUUUUUUUUAAUCUAAAUAUUUAAGUAAAAUAUAAAGGACGCAUACA
rnacentral:lncRNA from 1 species